UACGGAGAGGACAAGUGUUAUUCGUAUUGACUGGGUGUAAAGGGUACGUAGGUGGUCGUUUAAGUUACGGAGCAAAGCUUUGAGUUUCGUAAUACUAUACGACUUUGAGUUGAGUGGGAGGGGGCGGUACUUCUAGUUUAGAAGUGACAUUCGUUUGAUAUUAGGAGGACCAACAAUAGGCGACAGCUGCCCUUUACAAUUAUACUGACACUGAGGUACGAAAGCAUGGGGAGCGAACGGG
rnacentral:rRNA from 1 species